UUAAGCGACUAAGCGUACACGGUGGAUGCCCUGGCAGUCAGAGGCGAUGAAGGACGUGCUAAUCUGCGAAAAGCGUCGGUAAGGUGAUAUGAACCGUUAUAACCGGCGAUGUCCGAAUGGGGAAACCCAGUGCAAUUCGUUGCACUAUCGUUAACUGAAUACAUAGGUUAACGAGGCGAACCGGGGGAACUGAAACAUCUAAGUACCCCGAGGAAAAGAAAUCAACCGAGAUUCCCCCAGUAGCGGCGAGCGAACGGGGAGCAGCCCAGAGUCUGAAUCAGCUUGUGUGUUAGUGGAACGGUCUGGAAAGUCCGACGGUACAGGGUGAUAGUCCCGUACACCAAAAUGCACAGGCUGUGAACUCGAAGAGUAGGGCGGGACACGUGGUAUCCUGUCUGAAUAUGGGGGGACCAUCCUCCAAGGCUAAAUACUCCUGACUGACCGAUAGUGAACCAGUACCGUGAGGGAAAGGCGAAAAGAACCCCGGCGAGGGGAGUGAAAAAGAACCUGAAACCGUGUACGUACAAGCAGUGGGAGCACCUUCGGGUGUGACUGCGUACCUUUUGUAUAAUGGGUCAGCGACUUAUAUUCUGUAGCAAGGUUAACCGUAUAGGGGAGCCGCAGGGAAACCGAGUCUUAACUGGGCGUUAAGUUGCAGGGUAUAGACCCGAAACCCGGUGAUCUAGCCAUGGGCAGGUUGAAGGUUGGGUAACACUAACUGGAGGACCGAACCGACUAAUGUUGAAAAAUUAGCGGAUGACUUGUGGCUGGGGGUGAAAGGCCAAUCAAACCGGGAGAUAGCUGGUUCUCCCCGAAAGCUAUUUAGGUAGCGCCUCGUGAACUCAUCUUCGGGGGUAGAGCACUGUUUCGGCUAGGGGGUCAUCCCGACUUACCAACCCGAUGCAAACUACGAAUACCGAAGAAUGUUAUCACGGGAGACACACGGCGGGUGCUAACGUCCGUCGUGAAGAGGGAAACAACCCAGACCGCCAGCUAAGGUCCCAAAGUCAUGGUUAAGUGGGAAACGAUGUGGGAAGGCACAGACAGCCAGGAUGUUGGCUUAGAAGCAGCCAUCAUUUAAAGAAAGCGUAAUAGCUCACUGGUCGAGUCGGCCUGCGCGGAAGAUGUAACGGGGCUAAACCAUGCACCGAAGCUGCGGCAGCGACACGAUGUGUUGUUGGGUAGGGGAGCGUUCUGUAAGCCUGCGAAGGUGACCUGUGAGGGUUGCUGGAGGUAUCAGAAGUGCGAAUGCUGACAUAAGUAACGAUAAAGCGGGUGAAAAGCCCGCUCGCCGGAAGACCAAGGGUUCCUGUCCAACGUUAAUCGGGGCAGGGUGAGUCGACCCCUAAGGCGAGGCCGAAAGGCGUAGUCGAUGGGAAACAGGUUAAUAUUCCUGUACUUGGUGUUACUGCGAAGGGGGGACGGAGAAGGCUAUGUUAGCCGGGCGACGGUUGUCCCGGUUUAAGCAUGUAGGCUGGUUAUCCAGGCAAAUCCGGAUAAUCAAGGCUGAGGUGUGAUGACGAGGCACUACGGUGCUGAAGUAACAAAUGCCCUGCUUCCAGGAAAAGCCUCUAAGCAUCAGGUAACAUCAAAUCGUACCCCAAACCGACACAGGUGGUCAGGUAGAGAAUACCAAGGCGCUUGAGAGAACUCGGGUGAAGGAACUAGGCAAAAUGGUGCCGUAACUUCGGGAGAAGGCACGCUGGUGUGUAGGUGAAGUCCCUGCGGAUGGAGCUGAGACCAGUCGAAGAUACCAGCUGGCUGCAACUGUUUAUUAAAAACACAGCACUGUGCAAACACGAAAGUGGACGUAUACGGUGUGACGCCUGCCCGGUGCCGGAAGGUUAAUUGAUGGGGUUAUCCGUAAGGAGAAGCUCUUGAUCGAAGCCCCGGUAAACGGCGGCCGUAACUAUAACGGUCCUAAGGUAGCGAAAUUCCUUGUCGGGUAAGUUCCGACCUGCACGAAUGGCGUAAUGAUGGCCAGGCUGUCUCCACCCGAGACUCAGUGAAAUUGAACUCGCUGUGAAGAUGCAGUGUACCCGCGGCAAGACGGAAAGACCCCGUGAACCUUUACUAUAGCUUGACACUGAACAUUGAGCCUUGAUGUGUAGGAUAGGUGGGAGGCUUUGAAGCGUGGACGCCAGUCUGCGUGGAGCCAACCUUGAAAUACCACCCUUUAAUGUUUGAUGUUCUAACGUGGGCCCCUAAUCGGGGUUGCGGACAGUGUCUGGUGGGUAGUUUGACUGGGGCGGUCUCCUCCCAAAGCGUAACGGAGGAGCACGAAGGUUAGCUAAUCCUGGUCGGACAUCAGGAGGUUAGUGCAAUGGCAUAAGCUAGCUUGACUGCGAGCGUGACGGCGCGAGCAGGUGCGAAAGCAGGUCAUAGUGAUCCGGUGGUUCUGAAUGGAAGGGCCAUCGCUCAACGGAUAAAAGGUACUCCGGGGAUAACAGGCUGAUACCGCCCAAGAGUUCAUAUCGACGGCGGUGUUUGGCACCUCGAUGUCGGCUCAUCACAUCCUGGGGCUGAAGUAGGUCCCAAGGGUAUGGCUGUUCGCCAUUUAAAGUGGUACGCGAGCUGGGUUUAGAACGUCGUGAGACAGUUCGGUCCCUAUCUGCCGUGGGCGCUGGAGAAUUGAGGGGGGCUGCUCCUAGUACGAGAGGACCGGAGUGGACGCAUCACUGGUGUUCGGGUUGUCAUGCCAAUGGCACUGCCCGGUAGCUAAAUGCGGAAGAGAUAAGUGCUGAAAGCAUCUAAGCACGAAACUUGCCCCGAGAUGAGUUCUCCCU
rnacentral:rRNA from 1 species